UACGUAGGGGGCUAGCGUUGUCCGGAAUCAUUGGGCGUAAAGCGCGUGUAGGCGGUCCGGUAAGUCCGCUGUGAAAGCCCGGGGCUCAACCCCGGAACGGCAUCCGAUACUGGCGGGCUUGAGACCGGGGAGAGGAGGGUGGAAUACCCAGUGUAGAGGUGAAAUUCGUAGAUAUCGAGAGGAACACCAGUGGCGAAGGCGAGUCCCUGGACAACUCCUGACACUGAGGCACGAAAGCUAGGGGAGCAAACAGG
rnacentral:rRNA from 1 species